AGAGUUUGAUCCUGGCUCAGGACGAACGCUGGCGGCGUGCUUAACACAUGCAAGUCGAGCGGUAAGGCCCUUCGGGGUACACGAGCGGCGAACGGGUGAGUAACACGUGGGUGACCUGCCCUUCACUCUGGGAUAAGCCUGGGAAACUGGGUCUAAUACCGGAUAUGACUCAUGAUCGCAUGGUUGUGGGUGGAAAGAUUUUUUGGUGGGGGAUGGGCCCGCGGCCUAUCAGCUUGUUGGUGGGGUGAUGGCCUACCAAGGCGACGACGGGUACCCGGCCUGAGAGGGCGACCGGCCACACUGGGACUGAGACACGGCCCAGACUCCUACGGGAGGCAGCAGUGGGGAAUAUUGCGCAAUGGGCGGAAGCCUGACGCAGCGACGCCGCGUGGGGGAUGACGGCCUUCGGGUUGUAAACCUCUUUCGGCCCCGACGAAGCGUGAGUGACGGUAGGGGUGGAAGAAGCACCGGCCAACUACGUGCCAGCAGCCGCGGUAAUACGUAGGGUGCGAGCGUUGUCCGGAAUUAUUGGGCGUAAAGAGCUCGUAGGCGGUCUGUCGCGUCGGUCGUGAAAACUUGGGGCUUAACCCUGAGCUUGCGGUCGAUACGGGCAUGACUGGAGUUCGGCAGGGGAGACUGGAAUUCCUGGUGUAGCGGUGAAAUGCGCAGAUAUCAGGAGGAACACCGGUGGCGAAGGCGGGUCUCUGGGCCGAUACUGACGCUGAGGAGCGAAAGCGUGGGGAGCGAACAGGAUUAGAUACCCUGGUAGUCCACGCCGUAAACGGUGGGCGCUAGGUGUGGGGGCCAUUCCACGGUCUCUGUGCCGUAGCUAACGCAUUAAGCGCCCCGCCUGGGGAGUACGGCCGCAAGGCUAAAACUCAAA
rnacentral:rRNA from 1 species